GACCUGGCCGCCCCGCUCUCCUCGCCGCUGCCCCAGUCCUCGCUCUGCAGCGGGGGCCGCCCGUCCAGAGAGAUGUUGAUUCAGGAAAGUAAACUGAGUAAUGGAGAAGGAAUACACCACCAGUCCUGAAACCGGUAGCCAACGAGGAGUGCGGCUUCAAGUUACAUUUGCCAAAGACAAACAGUACAUUCCACAUGGCACAGCCAGGGUCACAGGUAGGUCUGGGUUGCCAGAGAAGCACCAAGUCAACAAGUCAAGAAGGAGGGCCCUCUGAGAAUUCACCUCGUCAUUUACCAUCUGGAUGCUUUCCUGGACUUUAUGAUCUCCAGAAACCUCAUCAUUCCACAAGAUGAAAGUGACUCGGAAACUUACCUCCUCAGAUCAUCUCCCUCCCUGGCUGCAGGACUUCAUCAUGACCUGGCUUUGUUAUCUUCCCUCCCCCACCAUUUUCAGCUU